GCUCAGUGUAGUCCUUUUCCUGGUUGGAGGCCCACGGCCGGCUAGAUUUCGACCUGGACCCUCUCAUCUGCCCUUCUCCACCGAGCAGGUGGAAGAGUGGUGGCGGGAAUGCGCCAGCUCUGACCUCCCUGCGGUGCGCGCUGCGGGGCUGGGAGCAACUGUGCUGGGUUCUGAGGCCCAUGCGGGUGCCUUCUUGGAGCCGCGCCAGCACCAGAAAUCGCCCGGGCUCGGAGUCCCAAUUAGAGGCGAUGGUAUCGUUUUACAUUCCUAGCAUCAGUGUACGAGGCCCAGUUCCUCCACAUCCUCGCCAACACGUGUACUUUAAUCAGCAUUUAAUGACCCAGUCGAAAAUUCAUUGUUUGGACCCAAGCACUGGUGGGAAAGGCAGGAGGGGAGGCCUGCCUUCCUUCCUCCCUCCCGAGCCCUACAGCAGGCCAUGGAGUGGUGAGCGAGUUCGUACAGUGCCAACCACAUUCCCAGAAACUUCCAGCAGAGGUUAAUCCUGCUCCUCUCAGGUGGGCUUGGCCCAUUCUCUAGACUUUGGAAGGUAAUGUUCUAUAGAGGCCUGUUCUGAAGCUUUACCAGGUCAAACCGGAGAAGAACCCAACAAGUAACUCAUCCCAGCCUAACUAUUCUUCAAGGGCAAUCAACCUACAGCAUCCAAGCACAGAGAAAUCAAAUCCAUGGAGAAUCUUCAAAUUAGGCUCAGAAUCCAUUUGGGUCAAUGAAUUUACUGUUAUUAAGAUCUUAGUUGUGUUCAACCAUGAUUUGACAUACCUUAGAGUGAGAAGAUAUUCUUCCUGGCCUCAGACUAGUUGAAGGUAGAGAGAGAGACAGGCCCUUGGGUGUGGGGAGACCUCUCCUGGGAUAAUACACACAAAAAACCAAGAGCUGCUCACUGUGGUGCAGGAGACAGCAGGGCCUGAAGCCAGAGGCUCUGUGUCCUUGAAUACAAUGUUUUACUCCUCUGACCCCUGUUACUGUGAUUUGGAGAGGCAGACAAUAUAGGAUGGGCUUUGCAGGCAGGGAGGUCCAGUUAUAAUCCCAGCUCUUACUAAGUUGGGUAAGACUCACUCUGAGACUUAGUUUCUUCUGUCAUCUCUCAAUAGAAUCAUAAAGGUACUUUCCUCUUAGUGUUGUUUUAAAAUUCAGUAAAAUAAUGCAGGCUUAGCACAGGGUCUGAUGUAAAUUUUCAAUGAAUUAUCGUUGUCAAUAUUGUUCUGGAAAACAAGAGGGCAUAUUAGAAGAUCAAAAGUACUGCCAAGCAUUGAAGUGCCAAUUCUAGAUCCAGUCUCAGCCCUCUGAGAAUGGAUAUCAUUGUUUUCAAGCCAUUCAGAAACCAAUGUGAAUUGAACACCUAGUAUGAGCUCUCUGAGGGAAGAGCCAAGUCAUGCAUUUUUUAUCUUAAGGGGUCUUCAAUACCUCUAGCCCAAAACAGUAUCUCCAUCAGGAUUCUUCUCUGAUAGUGUUCAUUUCUUUUUUCUCAAUGGAUGCCUUAAAAAAAAAAUCCUACAAGGAAACCUGUACUCCUCAAAUACACCACUCAGGUGACCAUUAAAUCAUUUACAUUGUUAAUUUCUUUUCAGAUGUGUGUCUUUUUCCCUAGUUACAUCAUCAGGACCUUGAAGGUAGGGACAGGUCUUAGAUUUCUUGAUGCCCCCAUAAAUCUAGGUACAGAGUAGGUCUCUGGACAUCAGUAUAAGGCCCAUGAGCCUGAUAGCUGCCCAGGUGGGUGCUGUGUGCCUGGGCGUGGGAAGGACAAAAGAGAGGUCACUAAAGGGGUUCCUGGGAAGGAAGAGCCCCUCUGACUUUAAAAGGGAGCCCAUACACUUUUUGGACAACUGGAAUAAUCAGAAAGCUGUUUUUGGGGAGGCAGCAGCCAGAAAAACCUGGGGCAUUGGGUCAACCAAAGCCCUUCCCAAGGCUGCAGUGGCUGCAGCUAGUUAGCCCAGCUUCCCUACCAGCCCCAGGGCUGCAACUGAACAGUGUUGGCUUCUUAAUAAAAACAG
rnacentral:lncRNA from 1 species